CACGUAGGGUGCGAGCGUUGUCCGGAAUUAUUGGGCGUAAAGAGCUCGUAGGCGGCUUGUCACGUCGGGUGUGAAAGCCCGGGGCUUAACCCCGGGUCUGCAUUCGAUACGGGCAGGCUAGAGUGUGGUAGGGGGAGAUCGGAAUUCCUGGUGUAGCGGUGAAAUGCGCAGAUAUCAGGAGGAACACCGGUGGCGAAGGCGGAUCUCUGGGCCAUUACUGACGCUGAGGAGCGAAAGCGUGGGGAGCGAACAGG
rnacentral:rRNA from 1 species